UACAUACUGUGCGAACGUUAUUCGGAUUCACUGGGCUUAAAGGGUGCGUAGGUGGCUUGUUAAGUAGGGUGUGAAAGCCCCUGGCUCAACCAGGGAAUGGCACUCUAUACUGGCGAGCUCGAGUGAGAUAGGGGUGUGUGGAACUGCCAGUGGAGCGGUGAAAUGUGUUGAUAUUGGCAGGAACGCCGGUGGCGAAAGCGACACACUGGGUCUCAACUGACACUGAGGCACGAAAGCCAGGGGAGCGAACGGG
rnacentral:rRNA from 1 species